rnacentral:lncRNA from 1 species
CCUGCUACGGCAACUCUCUUCCACACAGAUGUUCAGGAGUUCCGUCUUUAAGGUCAGGCCUUUUUACUUCUCUAAUCACGGAGACUUGAAGGGCAUCAUCAUAAUUAACGCUUACCGCUCCUGCCCUGUGCCAACAAUUGGAACCAGCUGACUCUAGAGACUCGGCAGGAAGCCGCUAUCCAGUGUGACAUCAGAGACCCUCUACAGCCCAUCGCCACGUGUCUGCAGUCCUGUCAUCAUCGCUCCUUCUAGGCUGAGACACUGAACACCGCUUUUUAAAUGCAAACUUCAUAUAAUUCAAAUGUUCAUCAGUCGGGACCCUUGGUCCCACGUAACAGAAAACCUGAGUCAGGCAGUUUUCAGUUAAAGGAAUUGUAACAUCUGAUGACUAAGAAGAGCAAGGAGGGGUUGUUAGUUUCAGGCACAGCUGGAUCCAGACGCUCAAAGGAUGCCAUCAGGUCCUGACUAACGUCUCCUGGGCUCUGGGCUCGUCCCCUCCCUCUUGGGUCCAUUAUUAGAGAGAAUCUCCUGUCACGGCUGCAGGACAGACGAGUCCAGUAGAAAAGAGUCUCUGUGCACCCCCAGAAGCCACAGCAACAGUGUCCUCGCAUCUCAUUGGUCCUGAGUGUGUCACCCACCCGUCUGCAAACCAGAGCUGCCAGGAAAGGAAAGCCCUAGGAUCUCAGUCCGCCUGACACAGAGGGCUGGUCAAGCCACGUGGGUGAGAGUGGGGGGUGGUUUCCCAGGGAAAUUGGGGUUUGGUCACCAAAAGGUGGUGAGAUGGAUUCUGGGUAGCCACAAAAAUGAAUGCACAUUACAAAACUCAUAUUCAUUAAAGAGGUUUAUAAACUGAAGUGGGAUGCACAGAAACAAUGUUUCACAUCCUUCUGUCUGAAGGUGAAACCCGGGAACCUAUUUCCCAGGGCUGACUCCUCAGAUUAGGUACCUGUGACGCUGGAAGGAGGAAUCCCCUUAGUGCCGGGACACAGAGAAGGAAAGUCUGCCCCGUGGAAAGAAAUGAGAAGGUCCUCAGGUGGAGUAGUGACCCAGACAGGAAGGUGCCAGGGAAUAGC